CAUGAUUUUACAGUUAAAUUUCCCGCUCGAAAUGAUCCAGAACAAACAUACAAAAAGUACAUAUUCCUGGGAAAAACAUUAUAAGGAUCAGUCGAAACCUCAUUCUGACUUUGAAAGAUGACAGAAUCUCUUCAAAUCAAAUCAAAAGAGUCCGUCGUCAAGUCAUUAGUCUUUCUGAAGGUUUUAAGGUUAGGAUACGUUGUCACGAGGUCGCGAGGAAAAAAAAUAAUCAGAGACAGUUCAACCAUAAGAAAGAAACAUUAUUCGCGUGAAUUUGAAAGUCUGAUUGAGGUUUUCGGUAUUGGUGGCUCCAGAGAGGAUGCGGGAUAUUGUCACGAUAAUAAUAACUAAACGAUUUGAUUACAAAAGGCAUUAGGAGGCGCAGCUGCAAAAAGAGUUCAAGCGCGAAAGUUGGAUCUAUUCUACACAAAAAUAUACGGAGCAGCAUCAGGCUCUCAUUGAUAAAUUUGCGGUGAAGUUAACACCCACCGCGUGCGAGAUAGAAUUAGAAACAGCAAACAUGUCUAUUCCGGAAUUCGGAAAAGAAGUGGAGCAACUUUCUGCGCAACUUACGUCAGCACAAGUAUCCCUCAAAACCUUUCAAAUGAUGCGGAUGCAGUCGUGCCAUGGCAGCCAUAUGUGGCUUUAUUAGUGAAUUAGGUAAUCCACAAACCGCGCGAAAUCCCCUAACCCUACAUAGAACAAUCUCGGACUAUCUUGAAAUACUAGUAAUCAUGGAAGAAGAAAAUUGAUGCAAGCCGUGCGAUGGCUUAUGGACAAAACGAUGGAAGAUAUAACGUCGAAUGCCAAAACGUCGAAAGCGGCAAAACUUUGAAAGGACAAAACGUCGGAAACAAGUGAAGUAAUCAAAACAAAUAAUGAGUUCUUCAUUAUUUUAAAGGAACCCCAUUCUUUCACUUUUCGACGUUUUGUCCUUUCUACGUGUAAGUGUUGUAUAAUUCGUGUCGUAUGUACUACCGAGAAUUUUGUGUGAUUUUGUGAAAACCGUGAAUGUUUAAAAAGCAGGUAGUAUUCGUUAUAAAUGUAGGUUUUUCCCAGCCUAACUCCCGACAGCGAUAGGCUUAGUCAGGUUCAGGCUCCACCACCUUACGAGAAAAUUGUCAUCGUCCACCCACCGAAGUACCAAAACCCACCACGAGAUGGACGGUUACCAUUCUUGGGCGGCCAUGAGGGGUGGCGUAAUGGGGCCAUUAAGAAAUAAGAAAUGGGAGGAGGGGGUAAUGACCUGAGUAAGAGGUCAUGGACCUCCAAGCGCUCGACGACUCCAUGACUGAGGAACACUUACAAAAAGUUCGUCGAGUAAGACAGUUUUGAAAAGCUAGAGACAAGUUGUAGAAAGAAAUUGGAGAAGUGAAAGUCUAAGGAAGUGCAAGUGGAAAGAAGUUUGGUGAAUUGGAUUAUCAGGUAACUACUAGAACCACCAAUAUAGGCCUGAUAGUAAUGCCUUCCCCCCAUCUCAGAACCCCGCCAUGUUUUUGGUUUAAGAACCCCGUGAAGUGCCCUACGAAAUCCGAGUGUCCAAAGUCAUUCCGGCAAAAACCGAAGACCGAUUCACUACGACAUUGGUAAGGACCCGGACGAGUAGCCGGCCGGAAUACGGAGCAGCGCGAGUCCCAAGCCACCCCCGGGAACCGUGGAGAGCGAGCCGAGGAUCCACGCCCGCACGCGAGUCGCCGUUGGAGACGAGGAAGGAGAGGUGGUGGAGCAGAAAGAGAAGGGGCCCCGCAACAGAAAAGGUCAGAUAGAAUUCAAGAAGUGGGAGUAGAAAGUGCCAGGAAUAGCCUAGGAAUAAUGAGUAGUUGGAGCAAUAAACUGGUGUAGAAAGUGUAAAUGUGCUGUGGUUUUCCUCCAUUCUGCACGAGAACUACCUGCCCGCGAGUAACUGUGUAGUGAACGUGCCGACCCUGAAGCCAUUGAGUCGGGGAGUCUCUGUGAUACUCCCGACUGACCUAACCAAUACUUACAUACGUUUUGUCUCCCAACCAGUGAAGCCUUUCAACGAAACGUUUAGGUCGAAGGGUGUGCUCAUUGGAUGCACAGCUCUCUCGUGAAUAAAAAUCUAAGCAUUCGCUAUCGGGCAGGCUACUAUAUCCCUGUAAUUGUGUGAUUGUAGCCUACCCGGCGAUGUCGACAAAUGACACUGAUGUAUGAUGAAGAAGAUAGUUGAAAAUCAGUACCUAUUCGUCGACUGGGAGGGUCUCAACAAGGGCAUCGAAGCCGGCAAGCUCAAGGCUUGUAAAGAUUUCUUGUUUACUGGUUCUGAUAUGCAGUGAAGCAAAUUGCAAUUCAGAAAAAAAAAACUGUUCCGGAUAUGGUUCUGAAAAUUACUUCCACAAGAUAUUUAAUUCAUCUUCGAGUGAUUCCUCGAAAAAUUACUAGAAGUGUCACAGAAAGUAGAAUUAAGAUAGUGUGUAUGUACAAUUUGUAUGAUAUUGAUAUUUAUAAAUAAAAAAGCAAAAAGCAAAAUUCGGGUUGUGGUUGGCACGAAUGAAUGUUUCGGUAAAAAUAUAUUAUGGUGGCUACAGAGAGGAGGCAUGCUCAGAACUGAUUUUAAGUAUCAUCGCUGUGACUGUUGUAAAUAAGCCAAGGUAUAUUAUCUACCAUUACGGAGUUCCCGAGGUUGAGAGAGGCUCAUCGUGUCUACCGUUUCGAAUUGCAUGUAUUUUGUUUCGGACCAUCUCAGGACAUUUAUGGACACUGCACGCAGCAACACAACUUUUCCCCGAUAUUUGCAACUAGUA